rnacentral:lncRNA from 1 species
UAAUUCUCUUACAAACAAGGAAGGCCAUAGAGGAAUUCAGUGUCUAUUUUUCUGUUUCAGCAUCCUAGCGUUCUCAAGGUCACCUUGUGGCCCAAGAUGGCAGCUAUCACAUCCGUAUGCCAGGAGACAUCUAAAGGAAGGGAGAAAAGGCAAAAUGUUGGGCCUUCUAGGAACUCUUCCAUAUUGCCCUGCAUACCCAAAAGGAGAAUUCUG